rnacentral:rRNA from 1 species
GAUGAACGCUGGCGGCGUGCCUAAUACAUGCAAGUCGAGCGGACGGACGAGAAGCUUGCUUCUCUGAUGUUAGCGGCGGACGGGUGAGUAACACGUGGAUAACCUACCUAUAAGACUGGGAUAACUUCGGGAAACCGGAGCUAAUACCGGAUGAUAUUUUGAACCGCAUGGUUCAAAAGUGAAAGACGGUCUUGCUGUCACUUAUAGAUGGAUCCGCGCUGCAUUAGCUAGUUGGUAAGGUAACGGCUUACCAAGGCAACGAUGCAUAGCCGACCUGAGAGGGUGAUCGGCCACACUGGAACUGAGACACGGUCCAGACUCCUACGGGAGGCAGCAGUAGGGAAUCUUCCGCAAUGGGCGAAAGCCUGACGGAGCAACGCCGCGUGAGUGAUGAAGGUCUUCGGAUCGUAAAACUCUGUUAUUAGGGAAGAACAGAUGUGUAAGUAACUGUGCACAUCUUGACGGUACCUAAUCAGAAAGCCACGGCUAACUACGUG